GACGAACGCUGGCGGCGUGCCUAAUACAUGCAAGUAGAACGCACAGUUUAUACCGUAGCUUGCUACACCAUAAACUGUGAGUUGCGAACGGGUGAGUAACGCGUAGGUAACCUGCCUGGUAGCGGGGGAUAACUAUUGGAAACGAUAGCUAAUACCGCAUAAUAUUGAUUAUUGCAUGAUAAUUGAUUGAAAGAUGCUAUUGCAUCACUACCAGAUGGACCUGCGUUGUAUUAGCUAGUAGGUGAGGUAACGGCUCACCUAGGCGACGAUACAUAGCCGACCUGAGAGGGUGAUCGGCCACACUGGGACUGAGACACGGCCCAGACUCCUACGGGAGGCAGCAGUAGAGAAUCUUCGGCAAUGGACGAAAGUCUGACUGAGCAACGCCGCGUGAGUGAAGAAGGUUUUCGGAUCGUAAAGCUCUGUUGUAAGAGAAGAACGGGUGUGAGAGUGGAAAGUUCACACUGUGACGGUAGCUUACCAGAAAGGGACGGCUAACUACGUG
rnacentral:rRNA from 1 species